rnacentral:rRNA from 1 species
UACAGAGGUCUCAAGCGUUGUUCGGAUUCAUUGGGCGUAAAGGGUGCGUAGGCGGCGCGGUAAGUCGGGUGUGAAAUCUCGGAGCUUAACUCCGAAACUGCAUUCGAUACUGCCGUGCUUGAGGACUGGAGAGGAGACUGGAAUUUACGGUGUAGCGGUGAAAUGCGUAGAUAUCGUAAGGAAGACCAGUGGCGAAGGCGGUUGCCUGGGGCUUUGCUGACGCUGAGGCGCGAAAGCGUGGGGAGCGAUCCGG